rnacentral:lncRNA from 1 species
GUUUUGAUGUUGCUUCUUCUAGUUGUACUUUAUUAGCCGGUGGAAAUGUAGUUUGCUUGGGGUAUUUGGUUUUUGUUUUGUUCCUGCUUUUUUGUUUUUGUUUCUGAGUUUUUGUAUUCCUUGUGUCUCUAACCCGAGACUCUUUUUAUUUUUGGCCUUUGUGCCUCUCCUUUUGUAUAUUAUAUUUUGGUUUGUCUUUAAGAAAAUGAAUUAUUGAUUUUAUACUAACCAUAUUUAAGUCUUCGGUAACAUCAUUCGUG